AGUUGGCGAACCUGAAAUGUAGUUCAUAAAUGGUAGGAGAGGAACGCAUGCGUACUCGUUUCGCGACGCAACAGUCGUAAACAACAUUUUUUCCAUAGAGAUUUUUAACGAAUUUACACACGAUAAUUAGAGCGUCCAGAGGGACGCAUCACGAUUUUUCCGCGUUUUCAUACGAUUUCGCGGAAAAAAUGGGGUCAAGCUUACACGUUCAGUGUACGUGAUAAACUUAUGGGUUUCUGGCAUGCGGUGACGUCAUCCGGAUCGUUCUGGAAGAACCCUGCAGGACAAUAAUGGCGGAUUUGUAUGCUAAAUACAACUGCACCUAUUGUCAAGAGGACAUCUCGGGUUUACGUGUAAGAUGUGUAGAAUGCCCAGAUUUCGACCUCUGUUUGCAGUGUUUUUCCGCUGGAGCUGAAAUUGGACCACAUAAAAAUGACCACUCUUAUCAGUUUAUGGAUUCUGGUACCAUUAGCAUAUUUAAUGGUAGAGGAAACUGGACUGCUAGAGAACAACUUAGACUUUUGGAUGCCAUUGAACAAUUUGGUUUUGGAAAUUGGGAAGAUAUUAGUAAACAUAUUGAAACACGUACGCCAGAAGAAGCAAAAGAAGAAUAUAUUGCUAGGUAUCUUGAUGGAAAUAUUGGAAAACAUACAUGGCCUCCUACAGAAAGCUACAAACCAAAUAUUACAGAUCAAACUAAGUCAGAUCAUGGACCUCUAUCACCUGAUCUCACAUCUCGAUUACCACCUUUGGAUAUUACUCCAGAAGAAGCUGCACAAUUGGGAUACAUGCCACAACGAGAUGAUUUUGAAAGGGAUUACAAUCAUGAAGCAGAAUCACUUGUUUCUUCUUUAUUUUUAAAUCCAGCAGAAGAUGAUGAUUUGGAUAUAGCACUUAAACUUGCACAAGUUGACAUGUAUACUAAUAAUUUAAGAGAGAGAGCGCGACGAAAAAGAGUUGUACGCGAUUAUCAGCUUGUUUCUGCAUUUUUUGCUUCAUCUAGGAAAGAUAAAACAAUAAAGAAAAAACAAUCAAAAGAGGAAAAGGAAUUUAGAGAUAGAACAAGAGUAUUUGCACAGUUUUACACGGCACAGGAAUAUGAACAAUUUUUAACAAAUCUUGAAAGGGAAAGAGAAUUACGGUUACGUCUUUCAGAAUUAUUUCGUUAUCGAGAACAUGGUAUUACAAGACAUGAAGAAUGCGCUCAUUUCGAACAAGUGAUGGCACAAACUCAGGGACAAAAUGAUACUGUAGAUCAUUGGAAUGAAAAAAAAUCUGCAUUUGUGAACAGAUUGUAUCAGUUUGCAUUUCACUUAGGGCAGCAGUGGGCCGUCCACACCAAUACACCGCCACACCUCAAAAAAAAGAGAAGAAGAAAAAAGUUACUCUUCCACCGACCGAAAGUACAUUGCAAAAGACUUACCCAGCAGCAGCUUCUCAAUCAAUCAAACCAAUCCCAAUCGGAUGACGACUCUAGCCAAUCAGUGGGCGGAGCCGGAUAACAAUCCAAAUUCUUCCAGCCAGCAUUCUACCAGCUCCAGUUCUGCCGCAGAAAAAAAUUAUACUGCGACAACUUCUGGAAAAUCUUGCACAACAGCGGGAGACUCAGAGGAACGAGAUAUAGAAAUGGAAGCAGCAGCUCAUCUAUUGACAAAACAAGAAAAAUCCUUAUGUCUUCAACUUGAUCUGAAGCCAACACAGUAUUUAACACAAAAGACAUUGUUGUUGCAAGAAUAUCUAAAUGGUAAUAGAAGAUCAGGCAUUGUACCUCAAUCGGAACCAGAGAGUAAGAUAUUACAUUAUCUGGUAGCAAAUGGCUGGAUCGCGGCCAAUUGAUUAAACAUGUAAAAAAUUAA
rnacentral:misc_RNA from 1 species